rnacentral:rRNA from 1 species
UACGUAGGGGGCAAGCGUUGUCCGGAUUUAUUGGGCGUAAAGAGCGUGUAGGCGGCCAGGUAGGUCUGCUGUGAAAACUCGAGGCUUAACCUCGAGACGUCGAUGGAAACCGUAUGGCUAGAGUCCGGAAGAGGAGAGUGGAAUUCCUGGUGUAGCGGUGAAAUGCGCAGAUAUCAGGAAGAACACCCGUGGCGAAGGCGGCUCUCUGGGACGGUACUGACGCUGAGACGCGAAAGCGUGGGGAGCGAACAGG